GAUCGUAUGUCCACGCACACGUCACGAGUGAAUUUAUCUGAAAAUCGUACGGACGAGAUGAUAUAGGACACGAUUUUACAACCUGCAGAUUUCCGAAGCAAUCGCACGAAGUUCCGCGCCAAAAACAUGGAGUCAGAGGAAGAGAUUGCUUUUUUUGUGGCAGCAAUGGCUAGCGAAAGAAUAAAAAAGAAAAGAAAAAGUAGGGCAUGGCAAAGAGUUUGGCUGAGGAGCAGAGAAAAGAAUGGACUUUCUAUUCUUCAAAAACAGCUUGAGAUGAAUGACGUGACAGGCUUCAGGGAGAUGUUACGGGUAACUGUAGAUGAGUUUUAUGAGUUACUGGCCAUGGUUGAGCCUUUGAUCACCAAAACAGACACAGUCAUGAGAAGGAGCAUCAGUGCCAAAGAGAGACUGUCAGUGACAUUAAGGUUUCUGGCCACAGGUAAAACAUUUAAGUCACUUGGCUUUCAGUUUCGCAUGGGAAGCACAACAUUGGCAAAAUUGUGGAAGAAACUUGUGAAGUCCUACACCACACUUUGAAGGAGGAUUAUUU